rnacentral:rRNA from 1 species
UACAACCAUUACGCCAGCAUCCUAGCCGAAGCGCGGACCUCAGUCCCGGCUGGCCGUAUUACACCCUGGGCUAUAACACCUCCACCGAAGUGGAGGCCACAUUCCCAGAGCCUUUAUCCGGCCGCCGAAACUGAUGCUGGCCUGUCCAAACUGAGUAAACCGGUCAGAAGACCGGCCGAACAGUUUAAACAAGUCUGAUUGCAAGCGCUUCCCUUUCAACAAUUUCACGUGCUUUUUAACUCUCUUUCCAAAGUGCUUUUCAUCUUUCGAUCACUCUACUUGUGCGCUAUCGGUCUCUCGCCAAUAUUUAGCUUUAGAAGAAAUUUACCUCCCAUUUAGAGCUGCAUUCCCAAACAACUCGACUCGUCGAAGGAGAUUUACAUAGGGUGCCAUUUCCUGUCACAUACGGGAUUCUCACCCUCUAUGACGUCCUGUUCCAAGGAACUUAGACAGGCGGCUUCCCCAAAUCAUCCUCUACAAAUUACAAUGCGAACCCGAAGGCUAGCUUUCAAAUUUGAGCUGUUGCCGCUUCACUCGCCGUUACUAGGGCA